rnacentral:rRNA from 1 species
AAUCAACGCUGGCGGCGUGCCUCAGACAUGCAAGUCGAACGCGAAAGUUCCCUUCGGGGAGCGAGUAGAGUGGCGCACGGGUGAGUAACACGUAGGUAAUCUACCCUCGAGUGGGGAAUAACUCAGGGAAACUUGAGCUAAUACCGCAUAAUGCAGCGGCACCACAUGGUGACAGUUGUUAAAGCAUUUAUGCGCUUGGGGAGGAGCCUGCGGCAGAUUAGCUAGUUGGUAAGGUAAUGGCUUACCAAGGCAACGAUCUGUAACCGGCCUGAGAGGGCGGACGGUCACACUGACACUGAAUAACGGGUCAGACUCCUACGGGAGGCAGCAGUCGGGAAUUUUGCGCAAUGGGCGAAAGCCUGACGCAGCGACGCCGCGUGAGGGAUGACGGCCU